rnacentral:rRNA from 1 species
CCUACGGGCGGCAGCAGUGAAUUAACGGUACCUACAGAGGAAGCACCGGCUAACUACGUGCCAGCAGCCGCGGUAAUACGGAGGGUGCGAGCGUUAAUCGGAAUUACUGGGCGUAAAGCGCUCGUAGGCGGUAUGUCAAGUCAAGGGUGAAAUCACCACGCUCAACGUGGGAACUGCCUUUGAAACUGGCAAACUGGAGUGUGUGAGAGGAUAGUGGAAUUCCAGGUGUAGGAGUGAAAUCCGUAGAUAUCUGGAGGAACAUCAGUGGCGAAGGCGACUAUCUGGCACAUAACUGACGCUGAGGAGCGAAAGCGUGGGUAGCAAACAGGAUUAGAUACCCUUGUAGUC